CCUACAGGUGGCAGCAGUGGGGAAUAUUGGACAAUGGGGGCAACCCUGAUCCAGCCAUGCCGCGUGUGUGAAGAAGGCCCUCGGGUUGUAAAGCACUUUCAGUGAGGAAGAACGCCUGGUGGUUAAUACCCAUCAGGAAAGACAUCACUCACAGAAGAAGCACCGGCUAACUCCGUGCCAGCAGCCGCGGUAAUACGGAGGGUGCGAGCGUUAAUCGGAAUUACUGGGCGUAAAGCGCGCGUAGGUGGCUUGAUAAGCCGGUUGUGAAAGCCCCGGGCUCAACCUGGGAACGGCAUCCGGAACUGUCAAGCUAGAGUGCAGGAGAGGAAGGUAGAAUUCCCGGUGUAGCGGUGAAAUGCGUAGAGAUCGGGAGGAAUACCAGUGGCGAAGGCGGCCUUCUGGACUGACACUGACACUGAGGUGCGAAAGCGUGGGUAGCAAACAGGAUUAGAUACCCUGGUAGUC
rnacentral:rRNA from 1 species